CCAGAGAUGGAUUGGUGCCUUCGGGAACUCUGAGACAGGUGCUGCAUGGCUGUCGUCAGCUCGUGUUGUGAAAUGUUGGGUUAAGUCCCGCAACGAGCGCAACCCUUAUCCUUUGUUGCCAGCGGUCCGGCCGGGAACUCAAAGGAGACUGCCAGUGAUAAACUGGAGGAAGGUGGGGAUGACGUCAAGUCAUCAUGGCCCUUACGAGUAGGGCUACACACGUGCUACAAUGGCGCAUACAAAGAGAAGCGACCUCGCGAGAGCAAGCGGACCUCAUAAAGUGCGUCGUAGUCCGGAUUGGAGUCUGCAACUCGACUCCAUGAAGUCGGAAUCGCUAGUAAUCGUAGAUCAGAAUGCUACGGUGAAUACGUUCCCGGGCCUUGUACACACCGCCCGUCACACCAUGGGAGUGGGUUGCAAAAGAAGUAGGUAGCUUAACCUUCGGGAGGGCGCUUACCACUUUGUGAUUCAUGACUGGGGUGAAGUCGUAACAAGGUAACCGUAGGGGAACCUGCGGUUGGAUCACCUCCUU
rnacentral:rRNA from 1 species